AAAGAUGCUGACAUGGCUAAAAGAUCCUGUCCUUGGGGCUGGUCUCACCUCAAUGGUCGUUGCUUUAAGUACUUUUCAACAUGCAGAACUUGAACUCAAGCUGAGAGAGACUGUGUGUCCAUGCAGGCAAACCUUGCAUCCGUCCAUAAUUAUGAGGAAUCCGUUUAUAUUAAUGGCCUGAUAUCAGCUUCAGGUGAUGGGUAUGCAGAAGUAUGGAUCGGAGCCACUGAUGCGCAGGAGGACAACAUUUGGUUCUAGAGUGAUGGCAGCAAAUUCCAGGAUGCAAACUGGUGUAACAAGCAACCAGAUGACUUGUAUUGAAAACAGCACUGUGUGAUAAUGAAUCAUGGAGCAUCCUCCUGCUGGGGUGAAAGGAGGUGUUCAUUGAAUCUACCCUACGUAUGCGUCAAAAGAGACUGCUGACUUCAUUCCUCCUGAAGAAGUGAAAAACAAUGAUCAGAGGGCAUUUCCUGG